rnacentral:rRNA from 1 species
UUUUGGACAAUGGGCGCAAGCCUGAUCCAGCCAUUCCGCGUGAGUGAAGAAGGCCUUCGGGUUGUAAAGCUCUUUCGCAACCCCCCCAAAACUUACUUUCUAAUAAAGAGUGAGGUUGACGGUACCUUGAUAAGAAGCACCGGCUAACUACGUGCCAGCAGCCGCGGUAAUACGUAGGGUGCGAGCGUUAAUCGGAAUUACUGGGCGUAAAGCGUGCGCAGGCGGCUUUGUAAGUCAGACGUGAAAUCCCCGAGCUCAACUUGGGAACUGCGUUUGAAACUACAAGGCUAGAAUAUGUCAGAGGGGGGUAGAAUUCCACGUGUAGCAGUGAAAUGCGUAGAGAUGUGGAGGAAUACCAAGGCGAAGGCAGCCCCCGGGAUAAUAUUGACGCUCAUGCACGAAA